UACGUAGGGGGCAAGCGUUGUCCGGAUUUAUUGGGCGUAAAGAGCGUGUAGGCGGCUUUACAGGUCCGUUGUGAAAACUCAAGGCUCAACCUCGAGACGCCGGUGGAAACUGCAAAGCUAGAGUCCGGAAGAGGAGAGUGGAAUUCCUGGUGUAGCGGUGAAAUGCGCAGAUAUCAGGAAGAACACCCGUGGCGAAGGCGGCUCUCUGGGACGGUACUGACGCUGAGACGCGAAAGCGUGGGGAGCGAACAGG
rnacentral:rRNA from 1 species